rnacentral:misc_RNA from 1 species
GAUGAAGAACGCAGCGAAAUGCGAUAAGUAGUGUGAAUUGCAGAAUUCAGUGAAUCAUCGAAUCUUUGAACGCACAUUGCGCCCUUUGGUAUUCCUUAGGGCAUGCCUGUUCGAGCGUCAUUUAAACCUUCAAGCUCAGCUUGGUGUUGGGUGACUGUCCGCUUCACCGCGGACUCGCCUCAAAAUUAUUGGCGGCCGGUACAUUGGCUUCGAGCGCAGCAGAAACGCGAACUCGGGCCCGUCGUAUUGGCUCCCAGAAGCUAUCUUCACAAUUUUGACCUCGGAUCAGGUAGGGAUACCCGCUGAACUUAAGCAUAUCAAUAAGCCGGAGGA